rnacentral:lncRNA from 1 species
UCCAUAUUGGGCUAUAUAAGGUUCAGUGGUAUCAUCAUGGAAUGGCUCUUUUGGAGCUUUCUUGGCAGUAGUUGUUGUGUACCCAGCUAUGUAAGGUGCAUUGGGAUCAUGGGUGGUUCUAGUCCUAUACCCUGCAAUGUAAGGUGCAUUGGGAUCAUGGGUGGUUCUAGUCCUAUACCCUGCAAUGUAAGGUGUAUUGGAAUCAUGUGUGGUUCUAGUCCUAUACCCUGCAAUGUAAGGUGUAUUGGAAUCACGGGUUGUCCUAGUUCUAUACCCUGCAAUGUAAUUUGGUUGAUUGUUAGCCAUAUGUGCACUAGUUGUGUACCCAGCUAUGUAAGGUGCAUUAGAAUCAUAAGUGUUGGUCCUAUACCCUGCAAUGUAAGGUGUAUUGGAUUCUUGGGCUUUAUGGGAAGCACUAGUUGUUCUGUAACCAGCUAUGUAUGGUGUAUUGGAAUCAUAGGUUUUGGUUCUAUACCCUGCUAUGUGUUGAUUGGCUUUGUUUGCAGCAUUGCUUGUUGUGUACCCAGCUAUGUAAG